CCCUUAGAUGUUCUGGGCCGCACGCGCGCUACACUGAUGCACUCAACGAGUCUCCGCCUUGACCGAAAGGUCCGGGAAACCUUCGAACUUGCAUCGUGAUGGGGAUAGAUUAUUGCAACUAUUAAUCUUCAACGAGGAAUACCUAGUAGGCGCAUGUCAUCAGCGUGCGUCGAUUACGUCCCUGCCCUUUGUACACACCGCCCGUCGCUCCUACCGAUUGAAUGGUCCGGUGAGCUUUUUGGAUUGUGGCAACGGCUUAGGUUCGCCUAACUGAUGCCGCGAGAAGAUACGCAAACCUUAUCAUUUAGAGGAAGGAGAAGUCGUAACA
rnacentral:rRNA from 1 species